GUGCAUGCCCGGCUGCCGUUGCUGCCCCUGCCUCGUACAAACGUCAGAGAAGGCACAUGACACGCCCCUGGGGGCCCUCUGGCCGAAGUCCACCUGCGCGGCUGAGUGGAGGAUGCUAGGUUGCUGUGCUGUUUCUCCUACUGUCUUGCUGCCGCACCACCCCUCAGAAAAAGCGGGUCCUCAGUUUCCUGCGGUUUGCACUCACCAAACAUAAUUAGCAAUCUGCAAUUCACCCGCAGGAUUAUUCCCGCCUCUUUGAUUACACACAGAAGGACGAGCCUUCCUCGUGAGGGUUGGAGAUGGAAGGAGAAGGGAUCGAGAGUAAGGAUGGGACCGAGCUUGUGGAGCAGAAGACCAACACGCCAGAAAGGAAAAUAAUGAUCAUCUCAAUUUUUAUAUGUGAAGGCAUUGCUUUUCUUCUUUGGGGGAUUUUAAGAUUUCCCAGAAAAUUUGGAAUUCCAAGGCACCUUAGAAACAAGACAUGCCUAGAAAAUUUAACUAUGUGUCCACAAGGCUGGAAAUGAAUCAAUAAUAAUUGCUUCUUUCAAUCUGAACAUGAAACAACGUGGAUCAAUGGCUGAGAAAACUGCAGAAGUUAUGAAUCUCUGGCCAGGCUCAACUCUCAGAAUGAAAUGGGAAUCUUUGAUGCAUUAUCUGGGGCCGUCUUUAUACUGGUUUGAACUGAGCAAGCACAAUGCAAACAAAACGUGGAUGUGGGCAGAUGGAGCUACAUUCAGCAAUUGUCAAGUUAUGAAACUAGCGAAUUAUUUACAUUAAGUGGAUUUGUUGUUGCUGUCGUUGCUGAAACUAGUGAAAGAAUUGAGUUUUGUGCUAUGAGUCAUGGGAGCAAAACGUGAGUAUUUAGAAAUGGAGAGGACCACGAAGAAGGAAGCCCUGGUGACUUGAAGAAAUCAUGGAGAGUUCUCUGGAUUCCCACAAACCUAUGGGGUUUAGAUUCCAGCUAAUACUUACACGGGUCUCAGAAGGACAGAGGGCAAGGGUUAACAUCUGGCUGACA